CGUUCCCGGGCCUUGUACACACCGCCCGUCACGUCAUGAAAGUUGGUAACACCUGAAGCCGGUAGGCUAACCGUAAGGGGGCAGCCGUCGAGGGUGGGACCAGCGAUUGGGACG
rnacentral:rRNA from 1 species